CCCGUGGGAAGUCUCCAUUUCCCUUCUGGCAGAUGAGAACAAAUGCUUCAUUGAAGAGUUAAUAACUCAUGUUUUGGAAGCCAUGAGCACUAUGUAGUUCCCAGGAAUUCAGAUAUUUUAUUUCUCACGUAGUGAGAAAGACCUAGUGGAUAAAAUGGCAAGGAUUAGAAAUAAAACCUGCAUGUUGCCCCGAUGAGAAACACAAACAGAAAGUCACCGGAUAGUUGGGAGCUAUUCAUUUAAAGAGACAGCAUGCAUGCUUGCCCAGAGUUCAAAUUUCAAAAGCAAUCAUUAGACGAGUUAUGGCAAGCUCUGUAAUCAAGGCUCUCCUGAUUUUAUCCCACUCAGAUUGGGGCUCCACUGAGACAAUCAUUUCUUAUAUUUCCUGCUCCUGGCUUUCUCUUUAAAAUUAUUGCACUACUUCUUUUUUUUGUUUGUUUCACAAAUUAUACACAGUCAGCAUUUGGCACUUCAUAAAAGUUUACUGAUUAGAAUGCAUGUAUUUCUCACCUCUUACCAUUCCUGGGUGGAGUGCUUGAGUAGGUGAGAGUGUGGAGAGUAAAGGGCAACUACAAUGUAGAAGAAUGAAUAGGAGAAACUUAUCCAGGCAGAGGAAGGCAGAUCCAUUAGGAAAAAAGGUGAAAAGGAAAUAUGGCUCCUGUAGAAAACAUUUGCUGCUGAAACUCAGAACAUGAAUACCCAAAUACUAAAGAAAAUAUUCUCGGAGCUACCCUGGAAGCCACUAAGAAACUUUCCAGUAAAUGGAGAAGGAUGACUGGACAGGUAACUUGGAAUAUGAGCUCAGAAAACUGAAGCAACAGACAUCAGGGAAUACAUUUUUAGACAUAGUCUUCCGAGCUCUAUGCUGACUCCAGACCACCCAGAGGAGUAUUGCCACAACAGUCUUGACCUCUGUAUUACAAUCUCCCAGGGAUGAUGUCUGGGGCAGGAUGAUAUUUCCUAGACUUUUUCGAAUGAGCAAGAGCAUCUUUUAUUUCUAAAAUAAUUGCAUCAUAUAUUUUUAUCAUGUUUAACAUAUAUUGGAUUACUUGCAAUUUAGGGGAGAGUGUGGGAGGAAGAGGGGGAAAAUUGGAACACAAGGUUUUGAAAGGGUCAAUGUUGAAAAAUUAUCUUUGCAUAUGUUUUGAAAACAAAAAGCUUCAAUAAAUAAUAAAAUAAAAAUAACUGUAUCCCACCCAAUUGAUAUAAGCCCAGUUACCUAAUUAUCUGCCCGUACCUGGAAACAAGUAAUUGUUGACCUAGGAUGAUUUGGUCUCUUGAAAGAAUGAGGUGGGUCACCAAUCUAAUUCCACUGAAGAGUGACCAAAGCUGAGAAAAGGUACGCAUGGACCUUUGGUCAGUUUGGAAAAUCAUGUCCAUUCAACAAUUCAAAAUAAUGUUUUUUGAAAUAUCUAUAAUGUGUUAAGCAUUGUGCCAGGCCCUUGGAUUGUAAAAUCUAAAC